ACACCAUACCACUGUAGCGCAAAGGACAGUGCGUUGGACUUUCAAUCCAAAGUUCGUGAAUUCAAUUACCACCUGGUGUU